rnacentral:rRNA from 1 species
UUGGUGCCUUCGGGAACUGUGAGACAGGUGCUGCAUGGCUGUCGUCAGCUCGUGUUGUGAAAUGUUGGGUUAAGUCCCGCAACGAGCGCAACCCUUAUCCUUUGUUGCCAGCGGUCCGGCCGGGAACUCAAAGGAGACUGCCAGUGAUAAACUGGAGGAAGGUGGGGAUGACGUCAAGUCAUCAUGGCCCUUACGACCAGGGCUACACACGUGCUACAAUGGCAUAUACAAAGAGAAGCGACCUCGCGAGAGCAAGCGGACCUCAUAAAGUAUGUCGUAGUCCGGAUUGGAGUCUGCAACUCGACUCCAUGAAGUCGGAAUCGCUAGUAAUCGUAGAUCAGAAUGCUACGGUGAAUACGUUCCCGGGCCUUGUACACACCGCCCGUCACACCAUGGGAGUGGGUUGCAAAAGAAGUAGGUAGCUUAACCUUCGGGAGGGCGCUUACCACUUUGUGAUUCAUGACUGGGGUGAAGUCGUAACAGGUAACCGUAGGGGAACCUGCGGUUGGAUCACCUCCUUACCUUAAAGAA